AGCAGCAGCCGCGGUAAUACGAAGGGUGCAAGCGUUAAUCGGAAUUACUGGGCGUAAAGCGCGCGUAGGUGGUUUGGUAAGAUGGAUGUGAAAUCCCCGGGCUCAACCUGGGAACUGCAUCCAUAACUGCCUGACUAGAGUACGGUAGAGGGUGGUGGAAUUUCCUGUGUAGCGGUGAAAUGCGUAGAUAUAGGAAGGAACACCAGUGGCGAAGGCGACCACCUGGACUGAUACUGACACUGAGGUGCGAAAGCGUGGGGAGCAAACAGGAUUAGAUACCCCCGUAGUCCCUGUCUCUUAUAC
rnacentral:rRNA from 1 species